rnacentral:rRNA from 1 species
AGCAGCCGCGGUAAUUCCAGCUCCAAAAGAGUAUAUUAAAGUGGUUGCAGUUAAAAAGCUUGUAGUUGAAAUUCGGGGUUAGUAGGUUGGUCAUGCCUCUGGUAUGUACUGGUCUCACUGAUUCCUCCUUCCUGAUGAGCCGUAAUGCCAUUAAUUUGGUGUUGCGGGGAAUUUGGACUGUUACUUUGAAAAAAUAAGAGUGUUUAAAGCAAGCUAACGCUUGAAUACAUCAGCAUGGAAUAAUGAAAUAGGACGUUCGAUCCUAUUUUGUUGGUUUCUAGGAUUGACGUAAUGAUUUAUAGGGAUAGUAGGGGGCAUUAGUAUUCAAUUGUCAGAGGUGAAAUUCUUGGAUUUAUUGAAGACUAACUACUGCGAAAGCAUUUGCCAAGGAUGUUUUCAUUAAUCAAGAACGAAAGUUAGGGGAUCGAAGACGAUCAGAUACCGUCGUAGUAUUAACCAUAAACUAUGCCGACUAGGGAUCGGAUGAUGUUAAUUUUUUAAUGACUCAUUCGGCGCCUUACG